rnacentral:lncRNA from 1 species
UUCAGAAAAUCCAAUUCAUAAAUACUCACAAUAACCAGAUGUUGAGGAACUGGCCAAAAAAUUAUUCAUUUUAAAGGAUAUUAGAUAACAGAGGAAGAUGGAAAAGAAUUGAAACUCAGGAAUCUGUUUUCCCAACCUGAUAUUCGUUAUUGUGAAUUGGAGUAUCAUUUGCCACAUAGCACCUUAGAGCAUAUCUGCUGGCUUCUCCGACAUUCGGCUGCAAGAUGGCCAGCCUGACCACUGGGUGGCUCAGUAAACAUGACUAGCUGUGUCAUGACUCAUGAGACAAAUAAAUUUUUAGAAUCUUCCAAAAGGAAAGUGAGUUGGAACCCAGAAGUAGAUUUAUAUAGAAUUACCGACUAACCUCUCAAUACUGAGAACAGCAUAAUCGAAUAUACGUUCUGAUUAUCAUAAACCAGAAUUCUAUGUGGGACUCAUCAAUCUAAACAGAGCCAAAAAUACUGGGCAGGAAGAUCAAAGGCCUAAAACCAAUUAUAAAGGGGGGAAAACUCAGACCAUAUAGACAAUGCCGUCUGUUUGGUUACUACACAAGAAAGGAAUUUGUCCACUCUUAGAAGGGAAUGAGCUGUGAUUCAACCUCAUCUGUAUACAAUAUUGAAGUGCAAUUGAGAGCAUACCUAGAGGAAAAAUUGGUGCCAAGAGUGAUGAUGUUAGG